rnacentral:rRNA from 1 species
UACGGAGGAGGCAAGCGAUAUACGGAGUUAUUGGGCGUAAAGCGUCAGUAGGUGGUUGACCGAGUCUGCUGACAAAGGGUGGGGCUUAACCUCAUAUAGGCAGUGGAAACUGGAGAGCUAGAGUGCGGUAGGGGUAAGGGGAAUACCCAGUGUAGCGGUGAUAUGCGUAGAGAUUGGGAAGAACAUCGGUGGCGAAAGCGCCUUGCUGGGCCUGCACUGACACUGAGGGACGAACGCUAGUGGUGCGGCAGGG